rnacentral:rRNA from 1 species
AGUGGCGGACGGGUGAGUAACGCGUGAGAAUCUGGCCUCAGGUCGGGGAUAACGACUGGAAACGGUCGCUAAUACCGGAUGUGCCUAAGGGUGAAAGCUUUAGUGCCUGAGGAUGAGCUCGCGUCUGAUUAGCUAGUUGGAGUGGUAAUGGCACACCAAGGCGACGAUCAGUAGCUGGUCUGAGAGGAUGAUCAGCCACACUGGGACUGAGACACGGCCCAGACUCCUACGGGAGGCAGCAGUGGGGAAUUUUCUGCAAUGGGCGAAAGCCUGACGGAGCAAUACCGCGUGAGGGAAGACGGCUUUUGGGUUGUAAACCUCUUUUGUCAGGGAAGAAGAUCUGACGGUACCUGACGAAUCAGCAUCGGCUAACUCCGUGCCAGCAGCCGCGGUAAUACGGAGGAUGCAAGCGUUAUCCGGAUUUAUUGGGCGUAAAGCGUCCGCAGGUGGCUAUACAAGUCUGCUGUUAAAGCGCGAGGCUUAACCUCGUACAGGCGGUGGAAACUGUAUGGCUAGAGUAUGGUAGGGGUAGCGGGAAUUCCCAGUGUAGCGGUGAAAUGCGUAGAUAUUGGGAAGAACACCAGCGGCGAAAGCGCGCUACUGGGCCAUAACUGACACUCAUGGACGAAAGCUAGGGGAGCGAAAGGGAUUAGAUACCCCUGUAGUCCUAGCUGUAAACGAUGGGUACUAGGUGUU